CAGGUGAUGUCCUUCCCUCUCCCAUCCAGGUGGGGGUAACAUCAGUAAGUCAGGUGAUGUCCUUCCCUCUACCUCUCCCAUCCAGGUGGGGUUAACAGUCAGUUAGACAGGUGUGGUCCUUCCCUCUAACCUCUCCCAUCCAGGUGGGGGUUAUGUCAGUAAGUCAGGUGAUGUCCUUCCCUCUAACCUCUCCCUUCCAGGUGGGGGUAAUGUCAGUAAGUCAGGUGAUGUCCUUCCCUCUCCCAUCCAGGUGGGGGUAAUGUCAGUAAGUCAGGUGAUGUCCUUCC
ensembl:lncRNA